rnacentral:tRNA from 1 species
GAAAGUGUGGCUCAAUGGUAGAGCACUUGCUUUGCCUAGCAUGCACAAGGCCCUGGGUUCAGUCCCCAGCACUGCUA